GAAGAGCAGCGAAAGCACGCUCAGCCAAUCCUCACUCGACGGCUCCGUCCUUGCUUAGAAAAAAGAAAGCCAAACCACUCGCAGAUGGAUCUUUUUUUCUAG
rnacentral:rRNA from 1 species